rnacentral:lncRNA from 1 species
GCUUAACUAAGAGAAACAAGGAUACCUAUGAAAGUUGAUUAUUAAUUUUAGCUCAACCCAUAUUACCCUCUCCAUGUUGAAUCACUCUAAGCCCAACUGUGUAUAUUAAUGAAGAUCAACAAUAUGAAACAAGGGAAUCAAGAUAUGGCAUAAAAUUAGCAACCAUAACCAUGCCUAUAUAUAAAUUACACAUCCCAAAUAAGUAGGC